rnacentral:rRNA from 1 species
AGAGUUUGAUCGGCUCAGGAUGAACGCUAGCGGCAGGCUUAACACAUGCAAGUCGAGGGGUAACGGGGAAGCUUGCUUCCGCCGACGACCGGCGCACGGGUGCGUAACGCGUAUACAAUCUACCUUAUACUGGGGUAUAGCCUUUAGAAAUGAAGAUUAACCCCCCAUAGUCUCUUAGAGUGGCAUCACUUCUAGAGUAAAGGUUACGGUAUAAGAUGAGUAUGCGUUCUAUUAGUUUGUUGGUGUGGUAACGGCACACCAAGACUACGAUAGAUAGGGGCCCUGAGAGGGGGAUCCCCCACACUGGUACUGAGACACGGACCAGACUCCUACGGGAGGCAGCAGUGAGGAAUAUUGGACAAUGGAGGCAACUCUGAUCCAGCCAUGCCGCGUGCAGGAAGACUGCCCUAUGGGUUGUAAACUGCUUUUAUACAGGAAGAAACACCUCUACGUGUAGAGGCUUGACGGUACUGUAAGAAUAAGGAUCGGCUAACUCCGUGCCAGCAGCCGCGGUAAUACGGAGGAUCCAAGCGUUAUCCGGAAUCAUUGGGUUUAAAGGGUCCGUAGGUGGAUAAUUAAGUCAGAGGUGAAAUCUUGCAGCUCAACUGUAAAAUUGCCUUUGAAACUGGUUAUCUUGAGUUAUUAUGAAGUAGUUAGAAUAUGUAGUGUAGCGGUGAAAUGCAUAGAUAUUACAUAGAAUACCAAUUGCGAAGGCAGAUUACUAAUAAUCAACUGACACUGAUGGACGAAAGCGUGGGUAGCGAACAGGAUUAGAUACCCUGGUAGUCCACGCCGUAAACGAUGGUUACUAGCUGUUUGGACUUCGGUCUGAGUGGCUAAGCGAAAGUGAUAAGUAACCCACCUGGGGAGUACGUUCGCAAGAAUGAAACUCAAAGGAAUUGACGGGGGCCCGCACAAGCGGUGGAGCAUGUGGUUUAAUUCGAUGAUACGCGAGGAACCUUACCAGGGCUUAAAUGUAAGUUGCAUUAGUUAGAGAUAGCUAUUUCUUCGGACCACUUACAAGGUGCUGCAUGGUUGUCGUCAGCUCGUGCCGUGAGGUGUCAGGUUAAGUCCUAUAACGAGCGCAACCCCUGUUGUUAGUUGCCAGCGAGUCAUGUCGGGAACUCUAACAAGACUGCCAGUGCAAACUGUGAGGAAGGUGGGGAUGACGUCAAAUCAUCACGGCCCUUACGUCCUGGGCUACACACGUGCUACAAUGGUAGGUACAGAGAGCAGCCACUGCGCGAGCAGGAGCGAAUCUAUAAAACCUAUCACAGUUCGGAUCGGAGUCUGCAACUCGACUCCGUGAAGCUGGAAUCGCUAGUAAUCGGAUAUCAGCCAUGAUCCGGUGAAUACGUUCCCGGGCCUUGUACACACCGCCCGUCAAGCCAUGGAAGUUGGAAGUGCCUGAAGUCCGUCACCGUAAGGAGCGGCCUAGGGUAAAGUCGAUACUAGGGCUAAGUCGUAACAAGGU